rnacentral:rRNA from 1 species
UGCUUGUCUCAAAGAUUAAGCCAUGCAUGUCUAAGCACAUGCCUUGAAACGGUAAAGCCGCGAAUGGCUCGGUACAACAGCUACGGUUUACUAGAUUUAAAUUCCACUUGGAUAACUGUGGUAAUUCUAGAGCUAAUACAUGCACCUAAGCUCGGACUUGACGGAAAGAGCGCAUUUAUUAGAUCAAAACCAAUCGGACUUCGGUCCGUGGUUUGAUGACUCUGAAUAACAAAGCAGAUCGCACAGUCUCGCACUGGCGACGUAUCUUUCAAAUGUCUGCCUUAUCAACUUUCGAUGGUAGGUUAUAUGCCUACCAUGGUUAUAACGGGUAACGGAGAAUUAGGGUUCGACUCCGGAGAGGGAGCCUGAGAAAUGGCUACCACAUCCRAGGAAGGCAGCAGGCA